UUGAAAGUGACGAACAAGUACAGUAGCCAAUAAGUUUUUUCGAAUUCAGAGAACUGGUGGUAGGUGCAAACCAGUCGAGCCUUUUUGGUGAAUUACGCUUGGGAGCUUAUGUGGACACGGGUCUGCACGGUUUCAAACCGAUAUCAUGAUCGAGUGGGAGAUUCAUUUGUCAUGUGAUCUUCAACAAGGGUGGUACCGCGGAAUAACUUCGUCCCUUAU
rnacentral:ncRNA from 1 species